UACGUAGGGUGCAAGCGUUAAUCGGAAUUACUGGGCGUAAAGGGCGCGCAGGCGGCCGAUCAAGUCAGAUGUGAAAGCCCCGGGCUCAACCUGGGAAUAGCAUUUGGGACUGGUCGGCUAGAGUUCGGGAGAGGAGAGUGGAAUUCCCAGUGUAGAGGUGAAAUUCGUAGAUAUUGGGAAGAACACCGGUGGCGAAGGCGGCUCUCUGGACCGAUACUGACGCUGAGGCGGCGAAAAGCGUGGGGGAGCAAACAGG
rnacentral:rRNA from 1 species